GGCCACACCGGAGGCAUAUGGAAGUUCCUGGACUAGGGGUCAGACCUCCACAGCCACGGCAACACUGGAUCCCAGCCACAUCUGUGACCUGUCCUGCAGCUUGCAGCAACAUGGGAUCCUUAACUCACUGAUGGAGGCUAGGGAUACUAGUUGGGUUCUUAACCCACUAAGCCACAACGGGAACUCCAUCCCUUUUAAAUAAAAACAAUUCAUUUCUGCCUAAAAUAAGGUCCUUUUGAGGGGAUGCAUUUCUGGGCCCAGGCUUUUUGAUUACUGGUUACUAAAUACCUCCCUAAAACCUACAGACAGCUUUAUUUAUUUAUUAAAGUAUAGCUGAUUUACAAUGCUGUGCCAAGUUCUGCUGUACUAGACAGAUUGAAUAUCUUGCACAGUGAAAGAGAAAUGCAGGGACCAACAAUGAGGGUGACUAGGGACCAGCGAAGGGACAAAGAUCUGGGGUGGGGACUGCUGGGACAGGUGAAAUGGGAGAAAAUAAGCUUCCAGCCCGCCCCAGUAGCUCGCAUCCGUUUCCUUCUCUAACCCCUACCUCACUGCCCUGUGCAGGAGCUCGCCACUAAAGCCAUCAGUGCAGUUUCUGCCCUGGGCUUAUGUGUGGAGAGGAUGCUGGCUCAACACAAUCUAAAUAAAACCCUGGUUUGUCCAGAUUCCUCUUCUGAGGAAAAGGAGGAAAGGGCUGGGAGGCUUUUACCAAGCCUCGGUUCCAAGGUUGGAGCACUGGUGAGGCCCCUCAGCCUUGAGGAACCCACAAGGUCGGCACUGCACUUCCGCCAGCCUUCAGCAGGGGCCAGGGUGAGCAGUGAUGUCACCCCAGGAGGACUGUCACCGAUAAGCCUCCCUGGUUUAAUGGCUCAUCAAAAGGCUUAGGAGUCAAACUGUUUUGCACAACAUUUGGCUGACCUUGUUUUUUCGGAUAGAUGUCCUGUAAAUCUUGCAAGGGCAUCAGGGCUGGAAAAGCCUUCCCGUGGUCACCCCACCAGUCUCCUUGCUGUCCAUUCCAAGGAAAGCAGGUGGCAUGCCUGGGGUCUUCUGUUGCUUUCCUCGGAAGGGUCACCAAAUCCUAUUGGCACUGUAAACUAGUGACUGCAUGCCCAGGCCCAAAGGCCCACUCUCUGAGCUUUCCACCCCUCUCACCCCCCUCACCAGCUGUUUGAUUUGAGGAUGCAUUAUUUCGUUUCUCUGUGUCUCUGUUUCCCCAUCUCUAAAAUCAAGAUAAUUAAUAGUGUCUCCCUCCAACAGCUGUUGUGCGCAUCUGAACAGCAGAGGGCACUUAGAAUAGUGCUUGGCACAUAGUAAGUGCUCUAUAAAUGUCGGCCUUUGUUAUACCCAAUUAGGUCUCCGUAAUACCCGUGUUGGGAAACAUGAACACUCUUGUUGAUUUUCAAUUCAGUUUAAUUCGAAGAGUACUUGUUAAGCUAAAGCACUGUGUGAUGCUCCUUCCUAAAGGCUGUGGCAAUAGCAUGACAAGCAGGACACAGUAUAUGCACUGGAGUGUACAGCCUAGCAAGGCAGAAGUAAUUAAGUGCAAAACGUAAGUGCAAACAGGUGUCAGUGGAAAAAUAGACAAAUUUUAACUAGAGGAAAAAAGGUGGUCUAGACAGGCUCCAUGGGGGCAUGAGUAUUUAAGACUUAAAAGUAUGAAUGUUAGUAGAAAAGCAAAAUAGAGCAUUCUGGAAUAAAGGAACAGUUUGAGGAAAGUCACAGAAGAGAGAAAAAAAAACUCAUGGAGAAUUUUUGAAACUAAGAAGAGUGAAGUCAGUCUUAUGAAAGGACAUUAGAGGAGAUGAUGCUGGGCAAACGAAAGGGUCAGACUGGUGAGGAUUUAAAUUUUAGUUCAGUUGUUAAACAAAGGUUUGCUAUUCAAGUGUUGGUGGGAUUUUGGGGGUGGGGAGCAGUGAAAUUAUGGACCUGCAAUUGAGGAACAUCAAUUCUGGUGACAGUGGGAAACAGACACUGGAGAAGCAAAAGAUGGGACACCCAGAGGCCAAUUCAGAGACUGCCAUUCAGUCAGUCCAUAUUUUUGGAGUAUCGGCUAGAUACACACAUGGCAAAGAGUGCAGGUAAGAGACGAAGAAAAUCUGAAAUAAGGCAGGAGAAAAAUGUGGAAGAAGAGGAGUGGGCAAGGAAAAGACAGUCCUAUAGAGAUUUAUUCAGAGAUGGAGACUGAAAGAAAACCAAGAAUGUGGGAUGGGAGUUCCCUAGUGGCUCAGCCAGUUAAGGUCCAGCAUGGUCACUGCUACGGUGAGGGUUUAGUGUCUGGCCCUGGAACUUCCCCAUGCCCUGGGUGCAACUAAAAAAGAAGAAUGACUCAGAAGUCAAGGAAGGAAUGACUGACUACUGCAAGCCAGGCACUGGGCUAAGUGCUUCACACACAAAAUUCACACCUGACCCUCCCAAACACCCUGAGAAAUCAGUAUCAAAAGCUCCACUUUAGGAUGAGGAUUGAUUUUAGAAGGUGCUUGCCCAAGUUCACACAGCUCUCAAGUGGAAGAGGAGCACAAAUUUAAACCAGGCUUUCCCUGCUUUAAAACUCAUGUUUUUUGGGAGUUCCCAUCGUGGCGCAGUGGUUAACGAAUCCAACUAGGAACCAUGAGGUUGCGGGUUCGGUCCCUGCCCUUGCUCAAUUGUUUAUGUGUGGGAACAUUUUUACUCAAUUAAUGGACUUGAAUAAGGCACAUUUUACCAGGAAACCACCCGCUGAAUAACAGAUGUCCACAGUAAACAUGAAACAUCACUGAAUGUUGAGUGACCUUGUUUCAUCAUAUUUCCAGGAAAAGAAAGAGCUCCAUUUCCAUACCCUCAGCCAUUCCCUUGACAUAAGUUAGUACUUCGGGAAGACGUACUAACUCUGCCUGACAGCUGGAAACAUUUAUUAGCAAUAGACCCUCCUUAGACAAUAGAAUUAUAGGCCUGGAAGAAACAUCAGAUACUCUGUCCAAUUUCUUUAGAUAUUGGGUCCAUUCCUCCUCCACUCUGUCUCACCCAGGGUCACAGGUGAGAAACUGAGGCAUGGUAAGAGCAACCUUGGACCAAAGUCAUAAGGCUGGAAUGGAAAUCUAUUUCUGUAAAUCAAAUGUCUUUUGGUCAAAUUCUACCAUAAUUACCGCCAGUGUUAUUUUGGAGGUAGUAUUUUUGACCUUAAAGAAUAAUUUAAAAACAAAUGGUACUAUGGAAUCCAAAUACUCAUUUUGCUUUUGUCCACACACAUUCUGUGUGGAUCUAAUCCCCUCAUAAGCCCCCACACAGCAAGAAGUUAAUCAAACACAAAUACCUCACUAGAACUGAUCCCAAAAUGUGAACAUUCAGAUUCGGACAAAAGACCUAAUAAUGUUUAUCUGCUUUGGGAAAUGCUUUUUUGUUCUACACGGAUAGAAUUCCUUUUGUGGGAAAUUUCCCUCAUGCAUAUUAAAUAUUGCCUGACUUCUACACAACUCUGUAACAACACAACUGCUUAUUAAAAGUAUGUUUGUAAAUAAUCAAAGUACAUGCUCAUACCCUUUCAUGUCAAAGCAAAUAUAUGAUAAUGAUAUGAAAUGAAAAAUUUGUUUCACCCAGGCAUAGAUUAGAAAUGUUCCAGCGUCCUAAAAAUUUUCAGAUUCAUCUAAAGUUUCUUGCGCUGGGCGCUGUAUUUUCUCAUAAAGCCUCAUAAAAAUCCUGAAGUACGUGUCAUUUUCCCAUUUUAGAGAAGAAACAGAAGCCAAGAAAGAUUAAAAACUUUAGGUGUUAAAAUGUGAUUCAAGCCUAAGUAUUCUGAAUCCCCAACCAGUGUUUUUCUCCACUCCUCUGUAUUAUUUUAUUUCGACCUUCUAUAAGAUAUAUAUUUUCAGCCACCAAGCAAGCUGGUUCUCUCUGUCACUUUUUGUGAAGGCUUUUAUCUUGUUUGCAAUUUGGUAAAUAAAUUGAUAUCUGGGAUUGCAAUUCUGCUAACUGAGACACUCUGUUUUCCUGUCUACUUCAGUCACUUUCUGUUUGUUCCCUAUCUAAAACACACCACAAAGUUAAUACCAAUUCCCUUGGGCCUUCCUAUUGAAUGCUAAGUAUUUUAAGAAGAAACACUAUCCCAACUAUUUAGCAGAACUCACUUGCUAGAAGUACCUGCAAAAAAUACUUUGCACGGCAUGUUCAGGACACCUAAGCAGUUUCUUAUUUGCAGUGAAUGAUGUCAGUGAAGCCCUAUUUCCUAAUCUGUACCUGAGUGUCUCCAACACUUCUUACCUAUUAAGAAGUCCACCCAGAGGUCUCAGGUGAGUCAGCAGGGCUCUGCAGGUGUUGGUGCUGGAGGCUCCUGUACGGACUGUCUACACAAUGCUCUAAGCCGGGCCUGUGUAUGAAUGGGGCAGCCUGAGGCUGCACUAAGUCGGUUUGCUUAAAAUGAGGCUUGCCACUACCUGCUGAAAUGGUAGCAUAGUAAACACUAAAGCUCUUAAAAGUAUCUUCUCUGUGGUCUUCGGGUUCUAACUUAGCUUCCAAAGGAAGAGCUAACUUGUUUCCAGGGCUUAGUAAUAAAGCAAU
rnacentral:lncRNA from 1 species